rnacentral:misc_RNA from 1 species
GAUGAAGAACGGAGCGAAAUGCGAUAAGUAGUGUGAAUUGCAGAAUUUAGUGAAUCAUCGAAUCUUUGAACGCACAUUGCGCCCUAUAGUAUUCUGUAGGGCAUGCCUGUUCGAGCGUUAUUGAGACCUCAAGCUCUGCUUGGAAAUGGGCGCUUGUCUUGCCUUGCAGACUCGCCUUAAAACCAUUGGCAGCUGAUUUACAAUGUUUGGUGCACAGUACAUGAGCCCAAGUGUUGCAAUGAGUGGCCCAAAAGUAUACAAUAGAAGCUUAACCUCGGAUCAGGUAGGGAUACCCGCUGAACUUAAGCAUAUCAAUAAGCGGAGGA